rnacentral:rRNA from 1 species
CCUACGGGCGGCAGCAGUGAGGAAUAUUGGUCAAUGGACGAGAGUCUGAACCAGCCAAGUAGCGUGAAGGAUGACUGCCCUAUGGGUUGUAAACUUCUUUUAUAUGGGAAUAAAACGUUCCACGUGUGGGAUUUUGUAUGUACCAUAUGAAUAAGGAUCGGCUAACUCCGUGCCAGCAGCCGCGGUAAUACGGAGGAUCCGAGCGUUAUCCGGAUUUAUUGGGUUUAAAGGGAGCGUAGGUGGAUUGUUAAGUCAGUUGUGAAAGUUUGCGGCUCAACCGUAAAAUUGCAGUUGAAACUGGCAGUCUUGAGUACAGUAGAGGUGUGCGGAAUGCGUGGUGUAGCGGUGAAAUGCUUAGAUAUCACGAAGAACUCCGAUUGCGAAGGCAGUUCACUGGACUGAAACUGACACUGAGGCUCGAAAGUGUGGGUAUCAAACAGGAUUAGAUACCCUUGUAGUC